rnacentral:rRNA from 1 species
UAGGGAAUCUUCGGCAAUGGGGGGAACCCUGACCGAGCAACGCCGCGUGAGUGAAGAAGGUUUUCGGAUCGUAAAGCUCUGUUGUUAAGGAAGAACGAGUGUGAGAAUGGAAAGUUCAUACUGUGACGGUACUUAACCAGAAAGGGACGGCUAACUACGUGCCAGCAGCCGCGGUAAUACGUAGGUCCCGAGCGUUGUCCGGAUUUAUUGGGCGUAAAGCGAGCGCAGGCGGUUAGAUAAGUCUGAAGUUAAAGGCAGUGGCUCAACCAUUGUAGGCUUUGGAAACUGUUUAACUUGAGUGCAGAAGGGGAGAGUGGAAUUCCAUGUGUAGUGGUGAAAUGCGUAGAUAUAUGGAGGAACACCGGUGGCGAAAGCGGCUCUCUGGUCUGUAACUGACGCGGAGGCUCGAAAGCGUGGGGAGCGAACAGG